UCAAAUGCGACGACGGAGAGAAGUAGCAUGGAAUUUCGUUCCCAGAGAGUGCGGGUAUGGUGAGAGCCGCAUAUCAGAGUCUGUGUGAAUAACACUCCCGAGCAGCAAACCGAAAGAGUGCCGGAUUCAGCGGAGCUUGCCGAGAAGGGCGGUUCGAUGUAUUCAGUGCUUCAAGUAGGGGCGACGUAUUCCGCACGUUACAGCGGCUCAAAAGUGAUCGCUUUUGCGGUAAUUCAGGUGGCACCACGGGUAUUAUGCCCCGUCCUGUAG
rnacentral:ncRNA from 1 species